CUGCAGCCACUGCUGUGUCUGCCACGCGUGAGGGGAGAGUGCUGGGCCGUGUCCGGCUGUCCUGCUGUUCUCAAGAGAAGUGCAGCUGUACAACAAAAUUCACCUUAAAUUUAUGUUUUCAUCAUGACAUUGCAACAUGCUCAACCUGUGGAUGUGGUCAGCAGUAAGUGGGGAAUGAACAGUGAAGCAGUGGAAUCCUGGACUUCUGGCAGUGCUUCAGCUUUUACUGAAGCAUGUUUACUUUCAUUUCAGAUUUUCUGGAACUUGCCACUGUUAUUUUACCAGGUGAGGCCCAGCCUAUUUCUUUAACAGGUAGGACAGUGGUAACUCAUAACUAACUCAUUGAAUGAAGUUUAAAAAAAAAGAAAAAAAGACUUUCUGUCUUUGUUUCUUAAUUCAUUUAUAGCACUACAAAAAGCUCCACAUGCAACUAACCAUACAAAUAAAAUACUAAAAAACCCCUAAUCAGACUAUUCAAGGGUUUCUGACAAUUAAUUUAAAAGAAUUUACUUUCUUGCAGUUCUGCAUAUAUUCCGUUCAUCUCUCUGUAAAAGGAUAUAAUACUGGUACAAAAACUCAACCAGAAACAGAAGUAUAUUUUAAGCUGGCUAAAAUUAGCCACAUUUAGACAUAUACCAGUAAAUAGAAGGCUAUGCUGUGCACCUUAUGUAGAGUCAGUCAUCAUUUAGUUGUAUUAAUCAAUCAAUUUUUGGUUGAGAAAAUUAAGGAUCCAGGGUUACUAAAUGAAUAAGGAACAAA